rnacentral:misc_RNA from 1 species
GCAAAACCUUCUUAAAAAAAGUUGAAUAUGUAUUGUCCCAAAUCAGCUUGUAUUCCCCAGCCAUGCAAGUGCAGAAGUUUCCUUGAUCAGACUCGUAACGUCUGUGAGGCAAUAUCAACGUCUUUACCCCUCCAGGACUUUCACACUCCACACUGAAUCCAAUAUCCAUACUCAUCUUGCUUUGAACCAAUGAAAAAUCCCAGGCAAUAUAUGAAUUGAUAGACUCCACACUUAAUGAAACCUCGUAAGUCUUCCCAGCUGGA